rnacentral:rRNA from 1 species
UGGCUAGCGGCAGGCUAACACAUGCAAGUCGAGGGGUAGAGGAAGCUUGCUUCCUUGAGACCGGCGCACGGGUGCGUAACGCGUAUGCAAUCUGCCUUGUACUGAGGGAUAGCCCAGAGAAAUUUGGAUUAAUACCUCAUAGCAUUAUGAAAUCGCAUGGUUUUAUAAUUAAAGUUCCAACGGUACAAGAUGAGCAUGCGUCCCAUUAGUUAGUUGGUAAGGUAACGGCUUACCAAGACGAUGAUGGGUAGGGGUCCUGAGAGGGAGAUCCCCCACACUGGUACUGAGACACGGACCAGACUCCUACGGGAGGCAGCAGUGAGGAAUAUUGGUCAAUGGACGCAAGUCUGAACCAGCCAUGCCGCGUGCAGGAUGAAGCAUCUAUGGUGUGUAAACUGCUUUUGUACGGGAAGAAACACUCCUACGUGUAGGAGCUUGACGGUACCGUAAGAAUAAGGAUCGGCUAACUCCGUGCCAGCAGCCGCGGUAAUACGGAGGAUCCAAGCGUUAUCCGGAAUCAUUGGGUUUAAAGGGUCCGUAGGCGGCUUUAUAAGUCAGUGGUGAAAGCCCAUCGCUUAACGAUGGAACGGCCAUUGAUACUGUAGAGCUUGAAUUACUCGGAAGUAACUAGAAUAUGUAGUGUAGCGGUGAAAUGCUUAGAUAUUACAUGGAAUACCAAUUGCGAAGGCAGGUUACUACAAGUGGAUUGACGCUGAUGGACGAAAGCGUGGGGAGCGAACAGGAUUAGAUACCCUGGUAGUCCACGCCGUAACGAUGGAUACUAGCUGUUCGGAGCAAUCUGAGUGGCUAAGCGAAAGUGAUAAGUAUCCCACCUGGGGAGUACGCACGCAAGUGUGAAACUCAAAUGAAUUGACGG